rnacentral:ncRNA from 1 species
ACAGGGGUGUGCGUCACGCACUGAGACAGACCCUUAUCACCUGAUCUAGGUAAUACUAGCGUAGGGAGUUCCAAAAAC